rnacentral:rRNA from 1 species
GAUGAACGCUAGCGGCAGGCUUAAUACAUGCAAGUCGUGGGGCAGCAGGUCUGUAGCAAUACAGAUGCUGGCGACCGGCAAACGGGUGCGGAACACGUACACAACUUUCCUUUAAGUGGGGAAUAGCCCAGAGAAAUUUGGAUUAAUACCCCGUAACAUAGUGAAAAGGCAUCUUUUUAUUAUUAUAGCAGCAAUGCGCUUAAUGAUGGGUGUGCGUCUGAUUAGGUAGUUGGCGGAGUAAUAGCCCACCAAGCCUACGAUCAGUAACUGGAGUGAGAGCACGACCAGUCACACGGGCACUGAGACACGGGCCCGACUCCUACGGGAGGCAGCAGUAAGGAAUAUUGGGCAAUGGACGCAAGUCUGACCCAGCCAUGCCGCGUGGAGGAUGAAGGUCCUCUGGAUUGUAAACUUCUUUUAUCUGGGAAGAAAUCCAUCUUUUCUUGAGUGGUUGACGGUACCAGAUGAAUAAGCACCGGCUAACUCCGUGCCAGCCGCCGCCGUAAUAC